CACGUAGGGGGCGAGCGUUGUCCGGAAUCAUUGGGCGUAAAGAGCUCGUAGGCGGCUCGGUAAGUCGGGUGUGAAACCCCCAGGCUCAACCUGGGGACGCCACCCGAUACUGCUGUGGCUAGAGUCCAGUAGGGAGUGUGGAAUUCCCGGUGUAGCGGUGAAAUGCGCAGAUAUCGGGAGGAACACCAGCGGCGAAGGCGGCACUCUGGGCUGGAACUGACGCUGAGGAGCGAAAGCGUGGGUAGCAAACAGG
rnacentral:rRNA from 1 species